rnacentral:rRNA from 1 species
GUGGGGAAUAUUGCGCAAUGGGGGCAACCCUGACGCAGCAACGCCGCGUGAGUGAAGAAGGUUUUAGGAUUGUAAAGCUCUGUCUUUGGGGACGAAACAAAUGACGGUACCCAAGGAGGAAGCCCCGGCUAACUACGUGCCAGCAGCCGCGGUAAUACGUAGGGGGCAAGCGUUGUCCGGAAUUACUGGGCGUAAAGGGCACGCAGGCGGUAUAAUAAGUCAGAUGUGAAAGUUUACAGCUUAACUGUGAAAGUGCAUUUGAAACUGAUAUACUUGAGUCUCGGAGAGGUAAGCGGAAUUCCUAGUGUAGCGGUGAAAUGCGUAGAUAUUAGGAGGAACACCGGUGGCGAAGGCGGCUUACUGGACGAGUACUGACGCUCAUGUGCGAAAGCGUGGGGAGCAAACAGGAUUAGAAACCCGUGUAGUCC